ACAGAGGGGGCAAGCGUUGUUCGGAAUUACUGGGCGUAAAGGGCGCGUAGGCGGCCUGCUAAGUCGAACGUGAAAUCCCCGAGCUCAACUCGGGAACUGCGUCCGAUACUGGUUGGCUUGAAUCCGGGAGAGGGAUGCGGAAUUCCAGGUGUAGCGGUGAAAUGCGUAGAUAUGCCAUAGAACACCAAUUGCGAAGGCAGCUGGCUAGACCUGGAUUGACGCUGAGGCACGAAAGCGUGGGGAUCAAACAGGA
rnacentral:rRNA from 1 species